rnacentral:rRNA from 1 species
CCCUUAGAUGUUCUGGGCCGCACGCGCGCUACACUGACGAAUGCAACGAGCUUAUAACCUUGGCCGAAAGGUCUGGGUAAUCUCCAAAUUUCGUCGUGAUGGGGAUAGAUUAUUGCAAUUAUUAAUCUUCAACGAGGAAUGCCUAGUAAGCGCAAGUCAUCAGCUUGCGUUGAUUACGUCCCUGCCCUUUGUACACACCGCCCGUCGCACCUACCGAUUGAAUGGUCCGGUGAAAUCUUCGGAUCUGAGAGAUGUCUGAUUAAUUUCGGACGCCUUUUGGAAAAGUUGCUUAAACCUUACCAUUUAGAGGAAGGUGAAGUCGUANCA